AACGAACGCUGGCGGCAUGCCUAACACAUGCAAGUCGAACGAGACCUUCGGGUCUAGUGGCGCACGGGUGCGUAACGCGUGGGAACCUGCCCUUAGGUUCGGAAUAACUCCCCGAAAGGGGUGCUAAUACCGGAUAAUGUCUUCGGACCAAAGAUUUAUCGCCUUUGGAUGGGCCCGCGUUGGAUUAGCUAGUUGGUAGGGUAAAAGCCUACCAAGGCGACGAUCCAUAGCUGGUCUGAGAGGAUGAUCAGCCACACUGGGACUGAGACACGGCCCAGAGUCCUACGGGAGGCAGCAGUGGGGAAUAUUGGACAAUGGGCGAAAGCCUGAUCCAGCAAUGCCGCGUGAGUGAUGAAGGCCUUAGGGUUGUAAAGCUCUUUUACCCGGGAUGAUAAUGACAGUACCGGGAGAAUAAGCUCCGGCUAACUCCGUG
rnacentral:rRNA from 1 species